CCGACAGAGGGAAGCGAAGCGGUGACGUGGAGCGAAUCCCAAAAAAGGCGUCCCAGUUCGGAUUGUAGUCUGCAACCCGACUACAUGAAGCUGGAAUCGCUAGUAAUCGCGGAUCAGAAUGCCGCGGUGAAUACGUUCCCGGGUCUUGUACACACCGCCCGUCACACCAUGGGAGUCGGGAAUGCCCGAAGUCAGUGGCCCAACCGGAAAGGGGGAGCUGCCGAAGGCAGGCCUGGUGACUGGGGUGAAGUCGUAACAAGGUAAC
rnacentral:rRNA from 1 species